rnacentral:tRNA from 1 species
CGGAGUGAAGCUUGUUAGCGCGCUUCGUUCGGGACGAAGAAGUCGCAGGUUCAAAUCCUGUCGUCCCGACCA